AAGACAAGUGCUAGUGAUUAGCUGCACCAUGACGUACCUACCAGAAAGCACGCUAACUACGUGCAGCAGCGCGUAUACGUAGUGGCAGCGUUAUCCCGAACUAUUGGGCGUAAAGCGGCGCGCAGGUGGUCUGUCAAGUCUGGAUGGUGAAAGUCCCACCGGCUCAACGUGGAAGGGUCAUUGGAAACUGGGAGACUGAGUCAGAAGGAGAAAGGUGGAUUCCAGGGUACCGGUGAAUGGGAGAGAUUAGGAGGAAUACAGGUGCGAGGGCACUUUCUUGUCUAUAAAUGACCGUUAGGCUGCGAAAGCGUGGGGAAGCAACCGGGUUUGGUUACCUGGGUAGUCCAGCCGGUAACGGAGGUUGACAAGGAGUUGGGGGUUUUCGCCCUUUAGUUCUGAAGUUAACGCCUUAAGCAAUCCGCCUGGGGAGUACGGCCGCAAGGUUGAAACUCAAAGGAAUUGACGGGGGCCCGCACCAGCGGUGGAGCAUGUGGUUUAAUUUGAAGCAACGCGAAGAACCUUACCAGGUUUUGACAUCCUUUGACAACCCUAGAGAUAGGGCUUUUCCUUUGGGAACAGAGUGACAGGUGGUGCAUGGUUGUUGUCAGCUUGUGUUGUGAGAUGUUGGGUUAAGUCCCGCAACGAGCGCAACCCUUGAUUUUUGUUGCCAUCAUUUAGUUGGGCAAUUUAAAGGGGACUCCCGGGGCCAACCGGGAGGAAGGGGGGGAGGAGUUCAAUUCUUCAUCCCCUUUUGGCCUGGGGUUCCCCACUGGUUCCAAGGGCGGUUCCAAAGAGUGCCAGCCCCGGAGGGGGAAGUAAUCUUCAUAAACCGUUUUCAAGUCGGGAUGGAAGUUUGCAAUUGGCUUCCAGGAAGUGGGAUUGGUUGUUAUCGGGGGUUCACAAUGCCCGGGGGAUUAGUUUCCCGGCCUUGGUCCCCCCCCCCCUCACACCCCGGGGAUUUGUAACCCCCGGAGGUGGGGGGGUUACCCUUUGGAGCCAGCCGCCUAAGGUGGAACAAGAUGGG
rnacentral:rRNA from 1 species